rnacentral:rRNA from 1 species
UACGAAGGUGGCAAGCGUUGUUCGGAUUUACUGGGCGUAAAGGGAGCGUAGGUGGUGCGGUAAGCCCUCCGGGAAAGCUUCAGGCUUAACCUGGAAAAGGUCGGGGGGGACUGCCACGCUAGAGGACGGGAGAGGAGCGCGGAAUUCCCGGUGGUAGCGGUGAAAUGCGUAGAGAUCGGGAGGAAGGCCGGUGGCGAAGGCGGCGCUCUGGAACGUUUCGUGACACUGAGGCUCGAAAGCGUGGGGAGCAAACAGG